UGGAGCCCCAGUCCGCCGGAGGGCGGGGUUUGCCGCCGCAGCUGGUGGUCAGGUCCGCCGCCGCUGACCGCUCCAGGAGCCUCCCGCGCUCGGACGGCCCGCGACACCCUCGCACCGUCUGCGCCCGCGGCCCCUCCAGCGCCAAACAUCCGAGCGCCUGGCGGGGCGCCACGCAGUGGCCCGAGCCGGGCUCGCCAGGAAGGAGGAACCAGCACCUGCCAAAUUUUUGAGACAGCUCACGGCUUAGAGGAAGGCUCAUCUAAAUAAAGGCCGGCUAAAGUGACACUGCAGGGGUUUAAUCCUUCUCUGGCUGCCCGUGUGACCUGAAGGCUGAUUUGCAGGUUUCUUCUUUCCUGAGGUCUAGAUUAUUAGGUCUCCAGAGCCCGGCGACUUGCCAGCAAGAGAAAUGCAAAAUGAAGGUCAGAGAUAAGCGCCAGCAGCACGGACCUGCGGGGCUCUGCAGGGCUUUUACACACGAGGGUGAGAGAUUCUCUGGCCUUCGAAGAAAAUAGCAAACUGGAGCUUUUGUCCUGGGAUACAGGCACCUACCACAGAACAUCAGACUGCACGGCUGUCCAAAAACUUCCAGGGAAGUGACUAUGGUAACGGGAUAGGAGCCUGAUUGCACAGUUAGAGUUGGGAAGUUCAACCUGAAAGAAGGUAUGAAAUGUCUCGAGUGAGGCAGGCAGCGUUGGGUUGGGCUGCGUAGGCUCUGCCGGCCCAUUUGCCUCUGCCCUCCUCUGACGUGCGCAGGCCAGUCUCAUGGACCCGGCUCCCUGGCAGUCCUGACCUCCCAUGUCCCAGCCACUGGGCUCUUGCAUGCCUCACCAACCUGCCUUUGAUUGGUGCCUCUUGGCUGAGAUGGAGACGUGAGCCUGCAGUGAGGAUGACGGCGGUGUAUGUGAAUGGAGGUGGCCUGGUGCACCCCCACUAUGCCAGGUGGGAUCGCCGGGACAGCGUGGAAAGUGGCUGUCAGACGGAGUGCGACAAGGAGGAGGAGGAGGGACAGGCUCGCCAGCUGACACCCUUCGAGAAGCUGACACAGGACAUGUCCCAAGAUGAGAAGGUGGUGAGAGAGAUCACGCUGGGGAAACGGAUCGGCUUCUACAGAAUCCGAGGGGAAAUCGGAAGUGGGAACUUCUCCCAAGUCAAGCUUGGGAUUCACUCCCUAACCAAAGAAAAGGUGGCCAUUAAGAUCUUGGACAAGACCAAGUUGGACCAGAAAACCCAACGGCUACUGUCCCGCGAAAUCUCCAGCAUGGAGAAACUGCACCACCCCAAUGUCAUCCGCCUUUACGAAGUCGUGGAGACCCUCUCCAAGCUCCACUUGGUCAUGGAGUAUGCAGGGGGUGGGGAACUCUUUGGCAAAAUUAGCACCGAAGGGAAGCUCUCCGAACCAGAAAGCAAGCUCAUCUUCUCCCAGAUUGUGUCUGCCGUGAAGCACAUGCACGAAAACCAAAUUAUUCAUAGAGACUUGAAAGCAGAAAAUGUAUUCUAUACCAGUAAUACUUGUGUAAAGGUGGGUGAUUUUGGAUUCAGUACAGUAAGUAAAAAAGGUGAAAUGCUGAAUACCUUCUGCGGGUCUCCCCCCUACGCUGCGCCCGAGCUUUUCCGAGACGAGCACUACGUGGGCGUGUACGUGGAUAUCUGGGCCCUGGGAGUGCUUCUGUACUUCAUGGUGAGUGGCACCAUGCCAUUUCGGGCAGAGACCGUGGCCAAACUGAAGAAGAGCAUUCUCGAGGGCACAUACAAUGUGCCUCCAGACGUGUCUGAGCCCUGCCUCCAACUCAUCCGGGGAGUCCUUCAGCCGGUACCCACCGAGAGGUAUGGCAUCGACUCUAUCAUGAACAAUGAAUGGAUGCAAGGGGUGCCAUACCCCACCCCUCUGGAACCUUUCCAACUGGACCCCAAACAUUUGUCAGACACCAGCACCCUCAAAGAAGAAGAAAAUGAGGUCAAAAGCACUUUAGAACACUUGGGUAUUACAGAAGAGCAUAUUCGAAAUAACCAAGGGAGAGAUGCCCGCAGCUCCAUCACAGGAGUCUAUCGAAUCAUUUUACAUAGAGUCCAAAGGAAAAAGGCUUCGGAAAGUAUCCCAAUAAUACUACCAGACCCUAAAGGAAGGGACCUAAAGAAAGGGUCCCGUGUCUACAGAAGCAUAAGACACACAUCCAAAUUUUGUUCAAUUUUAUAAAUUGCACUAGACUGUUGGUAAUUAACCAAGAUCACUGUUGCUGCUUUUAAAUUUUUCACGGAGAACUUGGUGGAGACAUUUUUGUAAUUUUUAAAUAAAUUUAAAUUUAAGGACAUUUCAAACAGCAGACAACAAAUGAAGUGUUUCAACUAAGUCACAAGAGGAUCAAAAGUAGCUGUUUGCAUCUAUUUGAGUUUCGUCUAGUGUUAGUAUUAGACUUAGUGUUCAUAAAAAUAAACAAAACUCCAAAGGUGGAAAAAGAAAGUGCACAAAUUCCAUAGAGAAGGGGAAGGAUAGAACUCUUCAAGCCAUAUUCAUUUGGAUUCUAGAAUUUGCAGAAGUGACCUUAGAGGACACUGGCCUCAUUUUCGAAAUGAUCCAGAGGGAUAGACUAGCCCAGAAAAACAAAUUAUUACUAAGUUUUGAAUCUAGAUAUGACAUGAUAAAAUGAGCUGAUCAGUACUAGAGAAUAAUCUGGUUUGAUUCCUAAUUCAUACAGUCCUAAGAGUUGCUAGGAUUCUUAGAGAUCACCUAAUCCAGUAUCAAUGCCAAUGCAAAAAGCUUCUGUAAAACCCCUGGGAGCCUCAGCAACAUGUGACCCUGAAGCUGGAAGCUCUAGCUGGCAGCAGGCAUUUCUAUGUUGGCUGUGAAAUUUGCUUUUAAUCUUAAAUUGCCAACCCCUAAUCUUAGGUUGUUUCUAGGAAAACAAAGUAACUCUCUUUAUAAAAAUUUAUAGAAACUUCAUACAUGUUUACCACCCAAUUUGGGACUUAAUUUCCUUAUAUGAAAUCUAAGAAGAAUUAAAUUAUCAGUAUAAAUUCCUCCAUACUAGAUGAAUAGUUCUAUGAAGGCAAAACCAUAUAUCUUGUAAAUCUUUAUUUCUGACUUAAGCAGGUGCCUUGCUUAUAUCAUGUUUUUGAAGGUUUGUUGAAUGAUGAAUGAAUAGAUGAGUGAAUGAAUAGACUGAAAUAAAAUGAAUGCCCAUAUUUUAAAAUAGCAUGUUAGUUGGUUUCUUGCCUAAAUGUUAGCUCAGGAGAAAAAAAGAAUACUCAAAUAUCUGAAAUAUUUCUCGAAAACUUUAUUCAAAGUUAUUCACCUCACUGUUAAUAAAGUGUACAGUUAAUUUUCUUUGCCAGCAUUAUUAGGCCUGCCCAUUGCCGGCAAUGGACUUUGAGAAAACCCAUUUCCUGACACUCAAAAGUUAAAUUACUCUUUUCAAAACAUACCGAACUCCCAAUACUUGCAAAAGUAUUUCAUGCACUAUUUCCCCAUCAAUCUUUUAAUCUGAAUUUACAUUAUUAAGCUACAUCAGCGGAUGUUAAAAUGAAGUCAUUUUAACAAAUUAUGACUAUACAAAUCAAAAUACCACUGGUUAACAUUAGACGAGAGUAUUUUACAAACACUACAUGUUCCUUUGCAAUUUGAAAUAUUGCAUUUCAUAUUUGUGUAGGUCUAUUUUGGAUAACUGAAACUUCACAGAAUUUAACAGCAAAUAAAGUUUUAAAAAAUUUAGUUCUGUACAUUAGUUCCAACUAUCUCUAUUUUACAAUCUGUAAGGCUCAUGUCAUAGUUCAGCACCAAAGAGAUCUACAAAACUGUCUAACCAGUCUUAUUCAUCCCAUGUGAUAGUUUUCUUUAGGUGAAUGUCUGAGAAAAUGCUUUAUAGAUCCUACUUCCAGAUCUUGAAGUGGAAUACUCGUUUUGGCCGGUCACACUUGUAAAAACUUGGGUUUUACCUUUUCAGUUUCAUUGAACAGAUUUUUUUUUAAAAAGGAAAAAGGACAAGAAUACUGACACCAUGAAUUUACGUUGUCAGUCUUUACGUUGAAUUUAUAACACUGAAGCAUCAGAAGUAACCUAAUAAUGUCUUGCCCCAUCCUUCUUUUGUUUAAAAUUUUUCAAAGGCAACCAGAAAAAUGUUUUAUUUAUUCUCAAAAUAAGGUACAAAGAAGGACUGAAACAACAAACUUCCUCACACACACGUGCCAAUCACAUCAAUGUUGUUCCGCAUAAUCCACCUUGAACUGAUUCCAAAGCAGACCUAGAGCUCCAUGCAUAGCUCCCAAGUGUACCACCCGACGUCUGCCCAAUGCUACGUAGCACCUCUCUGUUCAGAGGUCAUUACACUAACUCAUCACUGCUGGCCUGGACUUAAAGCAACGGUCCAUUUCCAGAAACAGUGUUACUGUUCCAACUCUUC